rnacentral:rRNA from 1 species
UUAUAAUCUUUAGAGUUUCAAUUGGAGGGCAGUCUGGUGCCAGCAGCCGCGGUAAUUCCAGCUCCAAUAGCGUAUAUUAAAAUUGUUGCAGUUAAAAAGCUCGUAGUUGAAUUUCUGCUGCAUCGUCGCAUCUCUUGCUGAGUGCUUCGUUUCGGCUUAUUUCGGAUUGAUUUUUUCUUUCCGGAUGAUUACUUUGAGAAAAUUAGAGUGCUCAAAGCAGGCUUUUGCCUUGAAUAGUUUAGCAUGGAAUAAUAAAGUAGGACUUUGGUUCUAUUUUGUUGGUUUUAGGUACCAAAGUAAUGGUUAAUAGGAACAGUUGGGGGCAUUCGUAUUUAACUGUCAGAGGUGAAAUUCUUAGAUUUGUUAAAGACGAACUACUGCGAAAGCAUUUGCCAAGGAUGUUUUCAUUAAUCAAGAACGAAAGUUAGGGGAUCGAAGACGAUCAGAUACCGUCGUAGUCCUACC